UACAGAGGGUGCAAGCGUUAAUCGGAAUUACUGGGCGUAAAGCGUGCGUAGACGGUUAUUUAAGUCAGGUGUGAAAGCCCCGGGCUCAAUCUGGGAAUUGCAUUUGAGACUGAAUAGCUAGGGUGCGGAAGAGGGAAGCGGAAUUUCCGGUGUAGCGGUGAAAUGCGUAGAUAUCGGAAGGAACACCAGUGGCGAAAGCGGCUUCCUGGUCCAGCACCGACGUUCAGGCACGAAAGCGUGGGGAGCAAACAGG
rnacentral:rRNA from 1 species